GUGCUGGCUUCAGCAGCACAUGUACUAAAAUUGGAAUGACACAGAGAAGAUUAACAUGGCCACUGUGCAAGGAUGACACACAAAUUCUUGAUGCAUUUCAGGUUUUU